AACGCAUUGGGUCAUGGGAGAACAACAAGAAAGCAGCUCUUGAGGCUGAACUAAAACAAAUUGAGGAACGGUGUAUUUAGGUACUUUAGAACCUCAACUACCUUCAAGUAGAUUGUACAUUGUAAGGAAAUCAUAGUAAGCCUUCAGAUGUAUGAUCAUAGAGAAUUGGCAAGCAUCCAAUAGAAAUGGAGCACGUCAGAUAAUAAAGGUAUAUAUCUUAUGAAGGCUAGCAACUCAAGAGGAUACCUCUAACAUAUAAAGAAGAUAAGAACAAUCUAACGAUAUAGUUAACAGGUAAUAUUUAUUUCAAAGUAUAUACUCUUACAACUUUAGUUUGUUGAAGUUAUUGGCUUUCCAUUUUUCACUCUUUGAUGAUUUGUCAUUAUUCAAUUUUAGUGG